GACGAACGCUGGCGGCGUGCUUAACACAUGCAAGUCGAACGGAAAGUCCCUGCUUUUGUGGGGUGCUCGAGUGGCGAACGGGUGAGUAACCCGUGAGUAACCUGCCCUUGACUUUGGGAUAACUUCCGGAAACUCGGGCUAAUACCGGAUAGGAGCUCCCGCUGCAUGGUGGGGGUUGAAAAGUUUCGCCGACUGGGGAUGGACUCGCGGCUCAUCAGCUUGUUGGUGGGGUAGUGACUUACCAAGGCUUUGACGGGUAGCCGGCCUGAGAGGGUGACCGGCCACAUUGGGACUGAGAUACUGCCCGGACUCCUACGGGAGGCAGCAGUGGGGAAUAUUGCACAAUGGGCGGAAGCCUGAUGCAGCAACGCCGCGUGCGGGAUGACGGCUUUCGGCUUGUAAACCGCUUUCGCCUGGGACGAAGCGUGAGUGACGGUAAUGGGUAAAGAAGCACCGGCUAACUACGUG
rnacentral:rRNA from 1 species